UACGUAGGGUCCGAGCGUUGUCCGGAGUUACUGGGCGUAAAGCGCGCGCAGGUGGUCCAUUAAGCCCGGCGUAGAAAGCCCCCGGCUGCAACCGGGGAGGGUCGUCGGGGACUGUGGACUUGAGGGCGGCAGGGGCUGGUGGAAUCCCCGGUGUAGUGGUGAAAUGCGUAGAGAUCGGGGGAACACCCGUGGCGAAGGCGGCCAUCUGGACCAGCACUGGACGCUGAGGCACGAAAGCGAUGGGGAGCAACA
rnacentral:rRNA from 1 species